rnacentral:rRNA from 1 species
UACGAAGGGUGCAAGCGUUAUCCGGAUUCAUUGGGUUUAAAGGGUGCGUAGGUGGGGCGAUAAGUCAGUGGUGAAAUCUUGCGGCUUAACCGUAAAAUUGCCAUUGAUACUGUCGCUCUUGAGUACGCUUGACGUGGGCGGAAUGUGCCGUGUGGCGGUGAAAUGCUUAGAUAUGGCACAGAACACCGAUAGUGAAGACAGCUCACGAAGGCGAAACUGACACUGAGGCACGAAAGCGUGGGGAGCAAACAGG